UACGGGGGGGGCAAGCGUUGUUCGGAUUUACUGGGCGUAAAGGGCGCGUAGGCGGCCCGCUAAGUCGGACGUGAAAUCCCUCGGCUUAACCGGGGAACUGCGUCUGAUACUGGAUGGCUUGAGGUUGGGAGAGGGAUGCGGAAUUCCAGGUGUAGCGGUGAAAUGCGUAGAUAUCUGGAGGAACACCGGUGGCGAAGGCGACAUCCUGGACCGAUCCUGACGCUGAGGAGCGAAAGCCAGGGGAGCAAACGGG
rnacentral:rRNA from 1 species